rnacentral:rRNA from 1 species
AUUGAACGCUGGCGGAAUGCUUUACACAUGCAAGUCGAACGGCAGCACGGGGGCAACCCUGGUGGCGAGUGGCGAACGGGUGAGUAAUACAUCGGAACGUGCCCGGUCGUGGGGGAUAACGUAGCGAAAGUUACGCUAAUACCGCAUACGAUCUGAGGAUGAAAGCGGGGGACCUUCGGGCCUCGCGCGAUCGGAGCGGCCGAUGUCAGAUUAGGUAGUUGGUGGGGUAAAGGCCUACCAAGCCGACGAUCUGUAGCUGGUCUGAGAGGACGACCAGCCACACUGGGACUGAGACACGGCCCAGACUCCUACGGGAGGCAGCAGUGGGGAAUUUUGGACAAUGGGCGCAAGCCUGAUCCAGCCAUUCCGCGUGCAGGACGAAGGCCUUCGGGUUGUAAACUGCUUUUGUAUGGAACGAAAAGGCUCUGGCUAAUACCUGGGGCUCAAGACGGUACCGUAAGAAUAAGCACCGGCUAACUACGUG